AUUGAACGCUGGCGGCAGGCCUAACACAUGCAAGUCGAACGAGUGGCGGACGGGUGAGUAAUGUCUGGGCAACUGCCUGAUGGAGGGGGAUAACUACUGGAAACGGUAGCUAAUACCGCAUACCAUCGGAUGUGCCCAGCUGGGAUUAGCGAGUAGGUGGGGUAAAGGCUCACCUAGGCGACGAUCCCUAGCUGGUCUGCGAGGGUGACCGGCCACUCUGGAACUGAGACACGGUCCAUACUCCGACGGGAGGCAGCAGUGGGGAAUAUUGCACAAUGGGCGCAGGCCUGAUGCAGCAAGGCCGCGUGAGUUAAGAAGUCCUUCGGGUUGUAAAGUACUUUCAGCGGGGAAGCGUUACCCGCAGAAGAAGCACCGGCUAACUCCGUGCCAGCAGCCGCGGUAAUUC
rnacentral:rRNA from 1 species